GAUGAACGCUGGCGGCGUGCCUAAUACAUGCAAGUCGAGCGAACAGACUAGGAGCUUGCUCCUCUGACGUUAGCGGCGGACGGGUGAGUAACACGUGGAUAACCUACCUAUAAGACUGGGAUAACUUCGGGAAACCGGAGCUAAUACCGGAUAAUAUAUUUAAACGCAUGGUUCAAUAGUGAAAGACGGUUUUGCUGUCCCUUAUAGAUGGCUCCGCGCCGCAUUAGCUAGUUGGUAAGGUAACGGCUUACCAAGGCAACGAUGCGAAGCCGACCUGAGAGGGUGAUCGGCCACACUGGAACUGAGACACGGUCCAGACUCCUACGGGAGGCAGCAGUAGGGAAUCUUCCGCAAUGGGCGAAAGCCUGACGGAGCAACGCCGCGUGAGUGAUGAAGGUCUUCGGAUCGUAAAACUCUGUUAUUAGGGAAGAACAAAUGUGUAAGUAACUAUGCACGUCUUGACGGUACCUAAUCAGAAAGCCACGGCUAACUACGUG
rnacentral:rRNA from 1 species